CCUACGGGAGGCAGCAGUGGGGAAUAUUGGACAAUGGGCGCAAGCCUGAUCCAGCCAUGCCGCGUGGGUGAAGAAGGCCUUCGGGUUGUAAAGCCCUUUUGUCCGGAAAGAAAAGCACUGGAUUAAUACUUCGGUGUUAUGACGGUACCGGAAGAAUAAGCACCGGCUAACUUCGUGCCAGCAGCCGCGGUAAUACGAAGGGUGCAAGCGUUACUCGGAAUUACUGGGCGUAAAGCGUGCGUAGGUGGUUCGUUAAGUCUGAUGUGAAAGCCCUGGGCUCAACCUGGGAAUUGCAUUGGAUACUGGCGGGCUAGAGUGCGGUAGAGGAUGGCGGAAUUCCCGGUGUAGCAGUGAAAUGCGUAGAGAUCGGGAGGAACAUCUGUGGCGAAGGCGGCCAUCUGGACCAGCACUGACACUGAGGCACGAAAGCGUGGGGAGCAAACAGGAUUAGAUACCCUGGUAGUCCACGCCCUAAACGAUGCGAACUGGAUGUUGGGUGCAACUAGGCACUCAGUAUCGAAGCUAACGCGUUAAGUUCGCCGCCUGGGAGACGAAAGGUCC
rnacentral:rRNA from 1 species